GCCUUCCUGUGUUGCUCAGUUGGUAACAGCAUGGCGCUUACAACGCCAGGGUUGUGGGUUCGAUUCCCACGGGAGACA